GACGAACGCUGGCGGCGUGCUUAACACAUGCAAGUCGAACGGAAAGGCCCUGCUUUUGUGGGGUGCUCGAGUGGCGAACGGGUGAGUAACACGUGAGUAACCUGCCCUUGACUUUGGGAUAACUUCAGGAAACUGGGGCUAAUACCGGAUAGGAGCUCCUGCUGCAUGGUGGGGGUUGGAAAGUUUCGGCGGUUGGGGAUGGACUCGCGGCUUAUCAGCUUGUUGGUGGGGUAGUGGCUUACCAAGGCUUUGACGGGUAGCCGGCCUGAGAGGGUGACCGGCCACAUUGGGACUGGGAUACGGCCCAGACUCCUACGGGAGGCAGCAGUGGGGAAUAUUGCACAAUGGGCGGAAGCCGGAGGCAGCAACGCCGCGUGCGGGAUGACGGCCUUCGGGUUGUAAACCGCUUUCGCCUGUGACGAAGCGUGAGUGACGGUAAUGGGUAAAGAAGCACCGGCUAACUACGU
rnacentral:rRNA from 1 species